rnacentral:rRNA from 1 species
GACAGAGGUCCCGAGCGUUUAGGCGGAAUUACUGGGCGUAAAGGGCUCGUAGGCGGCCAACUAAGUCAGACGUGAAAUCCCCUCGGCUUAACCGGGGGAACUGCGUCUGAUACUGGAUGGCUUGAAUCCGGGAGAGGGAUGCGGAAUUCCAGGUGUAGCGGUGAAAUGCGUAGAUAUCUGGAGGAACACCGGUGGCGAAGGCGGCAUCCUGGACCGGCAUUGACGCUGAGGAGCGAAAGCCAGGGGGAGCAAAGCGGG